AACGAACGCUGGCGGCAUGCCUAACACAUGCAAGUCGAACGAGACCUUCGGGUCUAGUGGCGCACGGGUGCGUAACGCGUGGAAACCUGCCCUUAGGUUCGGAAUAACUCCCCGAAAGGGGUGCUAAUACCGGAUAAUGUCUUCGGACCAAAGAUUUAUCGCCUUUGGAUGGGCCCGCGUUGGAUUAGCUAGUUGGUAGGGUAAAAGCCUACCAAGGCGACGAUCCAUAGCUGGUCUGAGAGGAUGAUCAGCCACACUGGGACUGAGACACGGCCCAGACUCCUACGGGAGGCAGCAGUGGAGAAUAUUGGACAAUGGGCGAAAGCCUGAUCCAGCAAUGCCGCGUGAGUGAUGAAGGCCUUAGGGUUGUAAAGCUCUUUUACCCGGGAUGAUAAUGACAGUACCGGGAGAAUAAGCUCCGGCUAACUCCGUG
rnacentral:rRNA from 1 species